UGCCAGCCGCCGCGGUAACACGGGGGGCGCAAGCGUUAUUCGGAAUUAUUGGGCGUAAAGCGCGUGUAGGCGGUUCGUUAAGUCUGAUGUGAAAGCCCGGGGCUCAACCUCGGAAUAGCAUUUGAAACUGGUCAUCUAGAGUACUGUAGAGGGGGGUAGAAUUUCAGGUGUAGCGGUGAAAUGCGUAGAGAUCUGAAGGAAUACCAGUGGCGAAGGCGGCCCCCUGGACAGAUACUGACACUCAGAUGCGAAAGCGUGGGGAGCAAACAGGAUUAGAUA
rnacentral:rRNA from 1 species